rnacentral:rRNA from 1 species
UGGGGAAUUUUGGACAAUGGGCGAAAGCCUGAUCCAGCAAUGCCGCGUGUGUGAAGAAGGCCUUCGGGUUGUAAAGCACUUUUGUCCGGAAAGAAAUCCUUGGCUCUAAUACAGUCGGGGGGAUGACGGUACCGGAAGAAUAAGCACCGGCUAACUACGUGCCAGCAGCCGCGGUAAUACGUAGGGUGCAAGCGUUAAUCGGAAUUACUGGGCGUAAAGCGUGCGCAGGCGGUUUGCUAAGACCGAUGUGAAAUCCCCGGGCUCAACCUGGGAACUGCAUUGGUGACUGGCAGGCUAGAGUAUGGCAGAGGGGGGUAGAAUUCCACGUGUAGCAGUGAAGUGCGUAGAGAUGUGGAGGAAUACCGAUGGCGAAGGCAGCCCCCCUGGGCCAAUACUGACGCUCAUGCACGAAAGCGUGGGGAGCAAACAGGAUUAGAUACCCUGGUAGUCCACGCCCUAAACGAUGUCAACUAGUUGUUGGGGAUUCAUUUCCUUAGUAACGUAGCUAACGCGUGAAGUUGACCGCCUGGGGAGUACGGUCGCAAGAUUAAAACUCAAAUGAAUUGACGGGGUCAUA